AUUGAACGCUGGCGGCAGGCCUAACACAUGCAAGUCGAGCGGGAUUUUCGGACCUAGCGGCGGACGGGUGAGUAAUGCGUAGGAAGCUGCCCGAUAGAGGGGGAUACCAGUUGGAAACGACUGUUAAUACCGCAUAAUGUCUACGGACCAAAGUGUGGGACCUUCGGGCCACAUGCUAUCGGAUGCGCCUACGUGGGAUU
rnacentral:rRNA from 1 species